rnacentral:lncRNA from 1 species
GCAGUUAAGCCAUUAGUCACCAGCAAUCUUAUUGAUAAUAAAAUAAUUACAGAAGGUAAGUUAGAUAAGAGAGUAUAAGAAACAAGAGAAAACAUAUGCUGAGAAAUACAGCUAAAAUAAGAUAAAAUAGAGGCUCAGACAGGCAUGGAGUUCAAAAAUAAAAACAGGAACCAAGCUAACCAAGCUGCUGCAAAAGGAAGUUUCCCCUGCC